AGGCUCAGAAAAACACCACUGCGUGUCCUCAUCCAGCAGAUCUGACCCCGUGCAACUGCUGGCUUUUGUUCCAAGUUAAAGUUACAGUCAAAGUGCCUGCGUGGGAGCUGCCCUGCCUGCUGCCCAGAUCCGGAGAGAAUCAUGCUGCGUGUCACUAGCAUGGCAAAAGAUCAAGUUCAAAAGUCCAAGUCCAGCUUCUUCUCAGUGCACCUCACUGUCACACUACUGAGAAGCAGAACUCGUCACGUCGGAACACUAAAACCCUGCCCGUAUGGAGCCAGCGAGGCUGUACCGAAACGCUGCGACUGGACCUGGCCUACGGCUGCUUGUCUGCUGGCCGUAGCUACUCCGUCUCCCAUUCUCAGCUACUCCUGUGGAGCCCACAUCUCAUCAGCUGGAGGUGGAGCAGAGACCUGUGAGUGCCCGCUGGCUCCUGCUCUCCCCUACUCUAUAUCCCGCUACUCUUCUUGCCUGUCCUGUGGACCCCAAGCCCUGGAGAAGACAUCGGCUUCACCAAGACGGUUGAGCCAGCUCCCCGAGCUGUGUAAAGUGCAGCCCCCGUCACACACACGUGUACACACACACGUGUACACACACAGGAGACCUCCUAGUGCUUCCAUGUCUCUAAACUCGAGCACAGAAUGUUGCUUCCUUCCUUUUUUCUUCAUAACAGCCAUGGAAAUGCCUCUCUCCCACUGAGGUACCUUUGUGAGUUACACAUCAUUUUGUCAGUCCGACAGACCGUGCAGCAAUAAAC